GAACUUAAGCAUAUCAAUAAGCGGAGGAAAAGAAACUAACAAGGAUUCCCCUAGUAACUGCGAGUGAAGCGGGAAAAGCUCAAAUUUAAAAUCUGGCGGUCUUUGGCUGUCCGAGUUGUAGUCUGGAGAAGUGCUUUCCGCGCUGGACCGUGUAUAAGUCUCUUGGAACAGAGCGUCAUAGAGGGUGAGAAUCCCGUCUUUGACACGGACUACCAGUGCUUUGUGAUGCGCUCUCAAAGAGUCGAGUUGUUUGGGAAUGCAGCUCAAAAUGGGUGGUGAAUUCCAUCUAAAGCUAAAUAUUGGCGAGAGACCGAUAGCGAACAAGUACCGUGAGGGAAAGAUGAAAAGCACUUUGGAAAGAGAGUUAAACAGUACGUGAAAUUGCUGAAAGGGAAACGCUUGAAGUCAGUCGCGUUGUCCGGAACUCAGCCUUGCUUUUGCUUGGUGCACUUUCCGGAUGACGGGUCAGCAUCGAUUUUGACCGUCGGAAAAGGGCUGGAGUAAUGUGGCACCUCCGGGUGUGUUAUAGACUCUGGUCGCAUACGGCGGUUGGGAUCGAGGAACGCAGCGCGCCGCAAGGCAGGGGUUCGCCCACUUUCGCGCUUAGGAUGCUGGCAUAAUGGCUUUAAACGACCCGUCUUGAAACACGGACCAAGGAGUCUAACAUACCUGCGAGUGUUUGGGUGGAAAACCCGAGCGCGUAAUGAAAGUGAAAGUUGAGACUCCUGUCGUGGGAGGCAUCGACGCCCGGACCUGACGUUCUCUGACGGAUCCGCGGUAGAGCAUGUAUGUUGGGACCCGAAA
rnacentral:rRNA from 1 species